rnacentral:rRNA from 1 species
AGUUGUAAUUUGUAGAGGAUGCUUUUGGUGAGGUGCCUUCCGAGUUCCCUGGAACGGGACGCCAUAGAGGGUGAGAGCCCCGUCUGGUCGGACACCGNANNCUCUGUAAAGCUCCUUCGACGAGUCGAGUAGUUUGGGAAUGCUGCUCUAAAUGGGAGGUAUAUGUCUUCUAAAGCUAAAUAUUGGCCAGAGACCGAUAGCGCACAAGUAGAGUGAUCGAAAGAUGAAAAGCACUUUGAAAAGAGGGUUAAACAGUACGUGAAAUUGUUGAAAGGGAAGCGCUUGUGACCAGACUUGGGCCCGGUUAAUCAUCCAGUGUUCUCACUGGUGCACUUGGCCGGCCCAGGCCAGCAUCAGUUCGGCGCGGGGGAUAAAGGCGUCGGGAAUGUGGCUCCUCCGGGAGUGUUAUAGCCCGUCGUGCAAUACCCUGCGCUGGACUGAGGUUCGCGCAUCUGCAAGGAUGCUGGCGUAAUGGUCAUCAGCGACCCGUC